CCUGAACUUGCGCUGACUUACUUUACUACUAGCCUUGGUUAUGGUUACAGACAUUACCAGUUCUUCUCCUUUAGCGUAACGUCUAGCCCAUGUGCCAUUAUCUGAAGGACUUUCAUUCUCCAAAAUAAUUUCUUCUUUAUUGUACAGGUGUGUUAGUCUCUUUUCAAAACAUACAGGUGAAACUGUUCUUAUAGUAAAAGCCAAAAUUGCCAUCCUGUCUAAAUAAAU